rnacentral:lncRNA from 1 species
UUUUUUUUUUUUUUUUUGAGAUGGAGUCUAGCUCUGUUGCCCAGGCUGGAGUGCAGUGGCCAGAUCUCAGCUCACUGCAAGCUCCGCCUCCCGGGUUUACGCCAUUCUCCUGGCUCAGCCUCCCGAGUAGCUGGGACUACAGGCUCGCCACCUCGGCUAGUUUUUGUAUUUUUUUUAGUAGAGACGGGGUUUCACCGUGUUAACCAGGAUGGUCUCGAUCUGCUGACCUUGUGAUCCGCCCGUCUCGGCCUCCCAAAGUGCUGGGAUUACAGGCUUGAGCCACCGCGCCCGGCCGUAGGCAUCUCUUUCUUCAAGGCAGCCCCCAGCCCUGCCCAGCCCAGGCUUGGCCGAGUAUCGCAAGGAGCACUGUAAGGAGAGUUAUUCCUAUUUCAGAGCCUCUGGGAACAGGCCCUGAUCUCCUGCUGUGGGGCAGAGAGGGUUCGGCUGGCGGCUCUGAGCGGAAGCCACCUCCACUUAAUGCCGGAGGGAAUGAUCUCAAACCUCCGUCUCUGGGCAGGGUCAGCCCCAUGCCCAGUCUGCGUUCUGACAGGUUGGAGACAGAAAGACACCAUCCCUCCGGAUCCUGACCAUUCUGAAGCCUCGAGCUCCAGGAGCCUCCUGGGAUCUUAGCCAUGGCUCUGGUGAAACCUCACCCUAAUCCCCUUCUCGUGGCCCCCAGUCUUCUAGACACUCAUUGCUCAAUCCCCUGCAUGAGUUAUUUUCCCAGUUGCCGUUUCUGUCUGAUUGUGAAAUUUUCUUUCCUCCAAAAAGCCACAUGCCUAUCACAUGAGGGGCAUGCCGGGCCCCCAGCAGAGAGGGGGAGGGUGCUGGGAAGUCUCCUUUCCUGGACCCCGGGCUGGUCCCCGGAGUCGGGGAGUGGCUCCCCACUCCUCCCUAUAGCCAACAUCCCAGGGAGCUUUGGGUCACACUGGGGGGAAGAUCAGCGCUCACCCAAAUCAGAUCGUGACUUGGUUUUCCCCAGAGAGCAGCACCUACGGUGCCUCCACCUAAGACCUAGCUGGAGCUGGGCUCCUCAGACCCCUGGCUCUGGGGGCGAACACACCCCGCUGACCGCCAGAUCAAAGCCACACUGCAGGCUGCUGAGACAGGAACAUUGCUGCUGCUGCUGCUGCUGCGUCCGGCUGGCCACGGCCCCACACUGGGGGUUAGUUCUUUGGGGGCCCUAAAGAAGAGCUGAGCUGUUGCCUUCUGGACGUAAAGGAGCUGCUUUUGCAAAACAGACUGUAUUUGCUCCCUGCCACAACUAACCAGAAAUGAGGAAGCCACCACAGAGAAGCCUCCCUAGUCUCUGGGGCUCCGGGUUCUGUCUGCUCCCCCUCCCAGAGACCACACACGAGGAUGUACACGCAGGCCACAUUUCCUUCCAGGCCC